GAUGGACGCUGGCGGCGUGCUUAACACAUGCAAGUCGAACGGAAAGGCUCCUGCUUGCAGGGGUACUCGAGUGGCGAACGGGUGAGUAACACGUGGGUGAUCUGCCCUGCACUUCGGGAUAAGCCUGGGAAACUGGGUCUAAUACCGGAUAGGACGAUGGUUUGGAUGCCAUUGUGGAAAGUUUUUUCGGUGUGGGAUGAGCUCGCGGCCUAUCAGCUUGUUGGUGGGGUAAUGGCCUACCAAGGCGUCGACGGGUAGCCGGCCUGAGAGGGUGUACGGCCACAUUGGGACUGAGAUACGGCCCAGACUCCUACGGGAGGCAGCAGUGGGGAAUAUUGCACAAUGGGCGCAAGCCUGAUGCAGCGACGCCGCGUGGGGGAUGACGGCCUUCGGGUUGUAAACUCCUUUCGCUAGGGACGAAGCGCAAGUGACGGUACCUGGAGAAGAAGCACCGGCUAACUACGUG
rnacentral:rRNA from 1 species